AGAGUUUGAUCCUGGCUCAGAGCGAACGCUGGCGGCAGGCCUAACACAUGCAAGUCGAGCGGUCGUAGCAAUACGGCAGCGGCAGACGGGAGAGUAACACGUGGGAACAUGCCCUUCAGUACGGAACAACCAAGGGAAACUUUGGCUAAUACCGUAUACGCCCGUAAGGGGAAAGAUUUAUCGCUGAAGGAUUGGCCCGCGUCUGAUUAGCUAGUUGGUGAGGUAAUGGCUCACCAAGGCGACGAUCAGUAGCUGGUCUGAGAGGAUGAUCAGCCUCACUGGGACUGAGACACGGCCCAGACUCCUACGGGAGGCAGCAGUGGGGAAUAUUGGACNAUGGGCGCAAGGCCUGAUCCAGCCCUGCCGCGUGAGUGAUGAAGGCCUUAGGGUUGUAAGCUC
rnacentral:rRNA from 1 species